CUGAGGGGGAAGUCUCUGAGUCUGGUGCUGAAGGAUUUUCCAGUCUGAUUUAAAAAUGAAUAUUUUUACAACUCACUCACCUUUUGUUUUAAAAUGUUAAGCCACGGGUUGGCAACCCCCGAAAUAACUUUGUUUUUAAAGCUCGUUGUGAGAGCUCAGCUCUACAAGUCCAAGAUAUUUCAGUGUAGCUGAGAGACUCUCUCAGUUCU
rnacentral:lncRNA from 1 species